CAGCAGGAUGCAGCCUGACACAGUCACACACAAAAGUGGUUUAGGAACAACUGAAAAUACAUGAAGAACAGCACAAGGCGUUGACCUGGCCUCCAGAUUCACUAGAUCCCAAACUGAUCCAAGUAUCCACACAGGCCCCUCUCCUUAACUCAUCAGACCCAAAGCCUAUCGAUACAACCGAUUUCCUUUCUGAUCUGAUACUGAUUAAAAUUCAGGCUGGUAUCGGCGAUACCGAUACCUUGUGCAAAUACACCUAAUGUGUCUGGUUAAACACUACUUAAGGGUAGUGUAUUUACAAAUGAUGAAUUAAAAAUACUUUAUUCAGUGUCCAGUAGCUUGUACACAAAGUUACACAGACAUCAGCAUAACACACAAACAAAAUCCACAGAAUCGACAGGAGUUAAGUUCAGUCUGAUGGCUGCACCAUCAGACUGAACUUAACUACUAUAAUAAUGGAAACUUGCCUCUUAAUUCUGACACUGUGCUCUCCUCUUCUGUCCUUCUGUAGUUUAUAGUUACUUUACACUUUGUUUGAGACACAUUUGAGAAAUCGAUUUUCUGGUAACUGGUAUCAGUAUCGAUAUUUCAGUAUCGAUCUGCACAUCCAUCCAUUCUCUGAUGAGUCACAAUUGUUUUGGAGUUCAUAGUGUUGCUCCUGAUCGUUGUAUAUCAUAUCAUAGGAAUAUGUCAUGUAACAUGCAUCAGUGUUAUCUAGUACUCUUAUUUGUAUCAUGAUUAGAUGUAUAUGUAAGAUUUAGACAGAUGUUUGUAUCAUCUUGUUCCCUCUUCUCUUCUCUUCUCUUCUCUUCUCUUCUCUUCUCUUCUCUUCUCUUCUCUUCUCUUCUCUUCUCUUCUCUUCUCUUCUCUUCUCUUCUCUUCUCUUCUCUCAUGUUUUUUCUCUCUCUACUCAUCUGGCCUCAAGCAGACGUCCCUCUCAUAAGAGCUCAACAUUCUGCUCAACAUUUCUUCCUCUGAAAAAUUAUCUUGAGACAAUGUGGAUUCUUCUUCAUAUUGUAUAAAUAAACGUAAUUCUGGGUGGAGUUUGCAUUUUGAGGUGUGAGACCUGUGGUUUGUCUCUGGGUACUCCGAUUUCUUCCAGCAACCCCCACAACCCUAUUGAGGAUAAGCGGUAGUAGAAGAUGAGAUGAUUGUUGUGCUGCCGUGUGAGGACAUUUACAGAAGUGUGUGCUUCUGUGGCCUGUUGAAUGCUAUUAUCUCUUUCUCAUGCUUACUGUGGUUUCCUGCCAUUAAGUAUAUAACGUGUCAGUGACUUGUACGCUGAUACCAGAAAACUUCCUGGAGGAGUAGUAUUCAGCUUCAUCAUGACUGGACACCUUCUGUUUAUUGUCCUUAUCUGUAAGUUAAACGUCUCAUCAUUAACAUUGGCGCUUACACAACGAUACAGGAACACCAUUACUUACGAUUGUAAGGUUAAUACGUUAUAUGUCUCACUAAGUAUUUUUAUCUGCAGCGUAUAUUAACAGUUUUACAUUAGUUGCAUCUUAGCUGCAGGUUAAAUAUUCUUAUGCUGUGGUGAGGUUUCUCAUGAGUGACUAGUGCAUCUAUUUCACUUGUUUAAAAAUCUUUCUCUGACAGAUUCUUUUCAUCAGAUUGAAGGUCAGUCCCUGAGAUUAUCUUUUUUUUUUAAUGAUCAGUCGUACAGUAUCCGUACAUAUUUCAUCCACAUAUGUUGACCUCUGUCUUUUCAGCUCUGCCUCCUCCUAAACUGACAGUGACUAGAUCAGUGAUCACAGAGACAGACUCAGUCACACUGAGGUGUGAGCCUCCAUCAUCUGUUCCUGUGUCUCAGUGUCAUUUCUACACUUUAAUUGCAUCAAAAGGAAUUAUUAAAGACUUCCCCUGUGUGAAGACACUGACAGGAAUUGAGCUUCUGGACAUAGUAAACAGCCUACCACUUGCUGUGGUUAAAGUCAGCUGUUUUUAUGAAGUCCAAACUGAAAGGUCUCCAUACAGUGAAUUCUCCACCAUCACCAUACAGAAUUCGACUGCUUCUAUGCCACAUAACACUGUGAGCUCCACCACCUCAGCUUCCCAGUCAACAAUGAACCCAGCAUCAGAUACAAGAAGAAGUGUCAUGGUUGUGAUCAUGACUGCUUGUGGAGUAACUUUGGUGUUGUGUUACUGGGAAUUGGACUUGUGUGGAAUCAACAGAGAGAAGAGAAAUGUGCUUCCAAGGGGUAAGGCUUUUUAUACUUUAAAUACAUGAGUGCAACUUCUUUUUGAAUACUGCUCUGUUUUGCAUUGAUUGUUUCACUUCGACAAAACCAACCAUUGUUAUGUUAUGACUGUCUCAAAUGAAAGAAAGUUUCUUAGUUUCCUUGUUGUACUCUAUCUCAGGGUGGUUUGGCUGUCAUUUAUAACACUUGAGGAGGCUUGUGCAGCUUCUGCAUUCUCUCAUUUUUCUCAUUGUCUUCCUAUGAUACUGUCCAAUAUACAUUUGUUUCCAAUAUAAUGGAUGACAAAAUCCAAAUCCAUUCACUCUUGAGCAACACUUUAACAGCAGCACUCUGACCGUGUCAUUGGCCAUGCUUGACUGGUAACUGUUGUCACUCAUAUUGUGAACAUGACAUAAGAUAUCAGCUUAUGCUGAGGAUGUUUGUGGAGAAUAAUGUGGCCAUGAACUGUGCUUCUAAAAGACAUAAACAAUUAUAUAUAAUAAACUAUUAUUCUUUUUUUUCCCUUCAGAGCAAAAGUUAGCAUCGUAGGUAAAUCAAGACAUGUUACUCAUCUGCAUUCACUCCAAUCAUUCUAAUCAUGCCAAUACAUCAUGUUAUUUAUGCACAGUGUAUUUUAUUUAUAUGUGAUUAUUAAAGAUGUUGUUUAUCUUUUAGAUGAAUGGAAAUCUUUGGCUGAUUAUGAUGAAACCUACAGUACUGUCAACUAUGAGUGAAAAAAUGAGUGACAGCAGCGGUACCUCAGACCCUCGGGCCAUUGGACCAGCUCCAGAUUGAUUGACCACUCUGCAAAUCAUUAUUUUUCUUGCAUGCUUGUUUAUAUUAAAGUUACUUGGUGUUUGCAUUAGUAUCCCAUAGGGAAGUUCUUAUAACAGUGUAACAGCUUUAUUUAACUGCAGUCUCAGUCAAUGGCUCCUUUGCAUAGACAAUAUUUUUACAGCACAGUUUAAAUAAUUCGGAUCAGAAAUUUUAACUCAAGUGUUUACAUGGAUGCUAAAUAAAAUAAUUUGAUGAAAUAUAAUGUACAUUUUUUAAUUUACCUGGAAACAAUCAGAGAAUAUGUGCCAAGUGGUCCUGGUUGCUAUGUCCAAUGUGUAAUCUGCCAUAGACAUGUAUUUUUUGGUUAAUGAUCAAACAUCAGACACCAUCAGACUCAGCUGAUAAGAUAA